rnacentral:rRNA from 1 species
AUUGAACGCUGGCGGCAUGCCUAACACAUGCAAGUCGAACGAGACCUUCGGGUCUAGUGGCGCACGGGUGCGUAACGCGUGGGAAUCUGCCCUUGGGUUCGGAAUAACUCGCCGAAAGGCGUGCUAAUACCGGAUGAUGACGUAAGUCCAAAGAUUUAUCGCCCAAGGAUGAGCCCGCGUAUGAUUAGCUAAUUGGUGGGGUAAAGGCCCACCAAGGCGACGAUCCUUAGCUGGUCUGAGAGGAUGAUCAGCCACACUGGGACUGAGACACGGCCCAGAUUCCUACGGGAGGCAGCAGUGGUGAAUAUUGGACAAUGGUCGAAAGCCUGAUCCAGCAAUGCCGCGUGAGUGAUGAAGGCCUUAGGGUUGUAAAGCUCUUUUACCCGGGAUGAUAAUGACAGUACCGGGAGAAUAAGCCCCGGCUAACUCCGUGCCAGCAGCCGCCGUAACAC